rnacentral:rRNA from 1 species
CGGAGUGGGGUAUAACCCCGCGAAAGCGGGGCUAAUUCCCCAUAUGCUCACAAGAUGCGAGUUUUGUGAGGAAAGGUUUCGGUCGCUCCGGGAUAGGCUUUUGUCCCAUCAGCUGGUUGGUGAGGUAAGGGCUUACCAAGGCGAUGACGGGUAGGGGGUGUGAGAGCAUGUCCCCCCACAUGGGAACUGAGAUACGGUCCCAACUCCUACGGGAGGCAGCAGUCUAGAAAUUUGCGCAAUGGGCGUAAGCCUGACGCAGCGACGCCGCGUGGGGGAUGGAGUCCUUCGGGAUGUAAACCCCUGUUGUCAGGGACGAUGAUGACGGUACCUGAUGAGGAAGCCACGGCUAACUCCGUGCCAGCAGCCGCGGUAAUACGGAGGUGGCGAGCGUUGUCCGGAAUCACUGGGCGUAAAGGGUGUGUAGGCGGUCUGAUGUGUCGGGUGUGAAAGCCUCCGACUUAAUUGGAGAAUGGCAUCCGAAACUAUCGGGCUUGAGGCUGUGAGGGGAGAGUGGAACUCGCGGUGUAGCGGUAGAAUGCGUGGAUAUCGCGAGGAAUGCCGAUGGCGAAAGCGGCUCUCUGGUGCGGUCUCGUAAGAGAGCUGAUUAGUCUGGGGUCUUCGGAUUCUGGGUUAAUCAGUCCUGACGCUGAAACACGAAAGCUGGGGGAGCAAACGGGAUUAGAUACCCCGGUAGUCCCAGCCCUAAACGAUGUGCACUUGGCAUUAUGCUAUUUUGGUGUGUGCCGGAGGUAACCUGUUAAGUGCACCGCCUGGGGACUACGGCCGCAAGGUUGAAACUCAAAGGAAUUGACGGGGACCCGCACAAGCGGUGGAGUAUGUGGUUUAAUUCGAGGCAACGCGAAGAACCUUACCUGGGCUUGACAUGCUGGUAGUACUGAGCUGAAAGGCGAGGGAUCCUGCUUCGGUAGGAAGCCAGCACAGGUGCUGCAUGGCUGUCGUCAGCUCGUGCCGUGAGGUGUUAGGUUAAGUCCUGCAACGAGCGCAACCCCUGCUCUUAGUUGCCAUCUUGCUUUUAUAAGUGAGGGCACUCUAAGGGGACUGCCUCGGUUAACGGGGAGGAAGGUGGGGAUGACGUCAAGUCAUCAUGGCCUUUAUGUCCAGGGCUACACACGUACUACAGUGCCUAUUACAAUGGGGUGCCAAGCCGUAAGGUGGAGCAAAUCUCAGCAAAGAUAGGCAUGGUUCGGAUUGUGGGCUGCAAUUCGCCCGCA